rnacentral:sRNA from 1 species
UUACAGCCCCGAUUGCAGCGGCAUCCUUUUACGGAACGGAGUGCAGUAAAAGAUACAGCGGAAAGCGGGACCGCUU